CAGCAGCACGGGAAUACGGAGGGUGCAAGCGUUAAUCGGAAUUACUGGGCGUAAAGCGCACGCAGGCGGUCUGUCAAGUCGGAUGUGAAAUCCCCGGGCUCAACCUGGGAACUGCAUCCGAAACUGGCAGGCUAGAGUCUUGUAGAGGGGGGUAGAAUUCCAGGUGUAGCGGUGAAAUGCGUAGAGAUCUGGAGGAAUACCGGUGGCGAAGGCGGCCCCCUGGACAAAGACUGACGCUCAGGUGCGAAAGCGUGGGGAGCAAACAGGAUUAGAUACCCCUGUAGUCCCUGUCUCUUAUACA
rnacentral:rRNA from 1 species